rnacentral:rRNA from 1 species
AAAUUGAAGAGUUCGAUCAUGGCUCAGAUUGAACGCUGGCGGCAGGCCUAACACAUGCAAGUCGAACGGUAACAGGAAACAGCUUGCUGUUUCGCUGACGAGUGGCGGACGGGUGAGUAAUGUCUGGGAAACUGCCUGAUGGAGGGGGAUAACUACUGGAAACGGUAGCUAAUACCGCAUAACGUCGCAAGACCAAAGAGGGGGACCUUCGGGCCUCUUGCCAUCGGAUGUGCCCAGAUGGGAUUAGCUAGUAGGUGGGGUAACGGCUCACCUAGGCGACGAUCCCUAGCUGGUCUGAGAGGAUGACCAGCCACACUGGAACUGAGACACGGUCCAGACUCCUACGGGAGGCAGCAGUGGGGAAUAUUGCACAAUGGGCGCAAGCCUGAUGCAGCCAUGCCGCGUGUAUGAAGAAGGCCUUCGGGUUGUAAAGUACUUUCAGCGGGGAGGAAGGGAGUAAAGUUAAUACCUUUGCUCAUUGACGUUACCCGCAGAAGAAGCACCGGCUAACUCCGUGCCAGCAGCCGCGGUAAUACGGAGGGUGCAAGCGUUAAUCGGAAUUACUGGGCGUAAAGCGCACGCAGGCGGUUUGUUAAGUCAGAUGUGAAAUCCCCGGGCUCAACCUGGGAACUGCAUCUGAUACUGGCAAGCUUGAGUCUCGUAGAGGGGGGUAGAAUUCCAGGUGUAGCGGUGAAAUGCGUAGAGAUCUGGAGGAAUACCGGUGGCGAAGGCGGCCCCCUGGACGAAGACUGACGCUCAGGUGCGAAAGCGUGGGGAGCAAACAGGAUUAGAUACCCUGGUAGUCCACGCCGUAAACGAUGUCGACUUGGAGGUUGUGCCCUUGAGGCGUGGCUUCCGGAGCUAACGCGUUAAGUCGACCGCCUGGGGAGUACGGCCGCAAGGUUAAAACUCAAAUGAAUUGACGGGGGCCCGCACAAGCGGUGGAGCAUGUGGUUUAAUUCGAUGCAACGCGAAGAACCUUACCUGGUCUUGACAUCCACGGAAGUUUUCAGAGAUGAGAAUGUGCCUUCGGGAACCGUGAGACAGGUGCUGCAUGGCUGUCGUCAGCUCGUGUUGUGAAAUGUUGGGUUAAGUCCCGCAACGAGCGCAACCCUUAUCCUUUGUUGCCAGCGGUCCGGCCGGGAACUCAAAGGAGACUGCCAGUGAUAAACUGGAGGAAGGUGGGGAUGACGUCAAGUCAUCAUGGCCCUUACGACCAGGGCUACACACGUGCUACAAUGGCGCAUACAAAGAGAAGCGACCUCGCGAGAGCAAGCGGACCUCAUAAAGUGCGUCGUAGUCCGGAUUGGAGUCUGCAACUCGACUCCAUGAAGUCGGAAUCGCUAGUAAUCGUGGAUCAGAAUGCCACGGUGAAUACGUUCCCGGGCCUUGUACACACCGCCCGUCACACCAUGGGAGUGGGUUGCAAAAGAAGUAGGUAGCUUAACCUUCGGGAGGGCGCUUACCACUUUGUGAUUCAUGACUGGGGUGAAGUCGUAACAAGGUAACCGUAGGGGAACCUGCGGUUGGAUCACCUCCUUACCUUAAAGAA